GCUUGUUGUUGGUGUGUGAAGAAACUACCCCUCAGGGGAACGUAACAAAUGAGACGAGAUUAAAUCUGACAUCACCAAGUUAAACUGUCAGAAACUCUUCUGAAAAUCUGCCUCCUCCCCCCCUGUGCUGAGCUUCAGGUGGAGUCCUGCCUCCUUCCAGGACGGCUACUGACUGAAGAUGAUGAUGGAGGAAGAGGAGGACAGAGCAGAGUCUGCAGGGUCCAGCUGUCCGUCUGUGAGGAGUGACCGGUCCAAAGGUCAACAGCCAGACUUCAGUGGUGAAACUGGAGCAACGAGAGGUCAGAGGUCACAGUCUGCAGGGUCCAGCUGUCCGUCUGUGA